rnacentral:rRNA from 1 species
GAUGAACGCUGGCGGCGUGCCUAAUACAUGCAAGUCGAGCGAACAGACGAGGAGCUUGCUCCUCUGACGUUAGCGGCGGACGGGUGAGUAACACGUGGAUAACCUACCUAUAAGACUGGGAUAAAUUCGGGAAACCGGAGCUAAUACCGGAUAAUAUAUUGAACCGCAUGGUUCAAUAGUGAAAGACGGUUUUGCUGUCACUUAUAGAUGGAUCCGCGCCGCAUUAGCUAGUUGGUAAGGUAACGGCUUACCAAGGCAACGAUGCGUAGCCGACCUGAGAGGGUGAUCGGCCACACUGGAACUGAGACACGGUCCAGACUCCUACGGGAGGCAGCAGUAGGGAAUCUGCCGCAAUGGGCGAAAGCCUGACGGAGCAACGCCGCGUGAGUGAUGAAGGUCUUCGGAUCGUAAAACGCUGUUAUUAGGGAAGAACAAAUGUGUAAGUAACUAUGCACGUCUUGACGGUACCUAAUCAGAAAGCCACGGCGAACUACGU